CUCAUUCUCAAAUGAGGGAAUGAAGACUAGAGUAGGAAAGACAUGAACUGUCACCCCAAAAUGAGAAAGGACAUUUGAAGAAAAAAACUAUUACAUGUGAAAAAAAUAAGCUAAUGGUUACCCCCCCCCAUAAGCUAAUGGAUAGUC
rfam:Vicugna pacos cont1.155981, whole genome shotgun sequence.